CUACGGGUCGCUGCAGUAGGGAAUAUUGGACAAUGGGCGAAAGCCUGAUCCAGCAACGCCGCGUGUGCGAUGACGGCCUUCGGGUUGUAAAGCACUUUUAGAGGAGAUGAGAAAGGACAGUAUCCUCAGAAUAAGCCUCGGCGAACUACGUGCCAGGCAGCCGCGGUAAACCGUAGGAGGCAAGCGUUAUCCGGAUUUAUUGGGCGUAAAGCGCGUGCAGGCGGUCUAGCAAGUUGGAUGUGAAAGCUCCCGGCUGAACCGGGAGAGGUCGUUCAAUACUGUUAGACUAGAGAAUGGGAGAGGGAGGUGGAAUUCUGGGUGUAGUGGUGAAAUGCGUAGAUAUCCAGAGGAACACCAGUGGCGAAAGCGGCCUCCUGGACCAUUUCUGACGCUAAGACGCGAAAGCUAGGGUAGCAAACGGGAUUAGAUACCCCGGUAGUC
rnacentral:rRNA from 1 species